GUAUUUCUUUAACAUAAAUAGAAAAACAUUUUAGGACGUUUAUUGAAGGCAUUUCAAAUUGAUUUCAACUGGUAUCGUUUGGCAUCAUGGAUAAACAUAACAGAACAGUGGCCAUUCCGUACAUCCUGGAUAAUAUACCAUUACGAUAUAUCAGAAGACAGUUUGGAUGACAAUACGUCGCUUAAAUCUCUAUAUGACAAAGCCAGGCCAUACAUCCCAUCUUUAAAAGAAACCGAACCAUUGUUGGAGUUGGAUAGAGAUGAACGAAAGUUUGAUAUAUUUUUAUCAUUUCACAAAUCCAGUCUGUUGGUUAGUGAUCUAAAAAUAUUUCUACCUUUUACCAUCAACUUGGAUCCAUAUUUGAAAAAA